UACGAAGGGUGCAAGCGUUACUCGGAAUUACUGGGCGUAAAGCGUGCGUAGGCGGUUCGUUAAGUCUGUCGUGAAAGCCCUGGGCUCAACCUGGGAAUUGCGAUGGAUACUGGCGAGCUAGAGUACGGUAGAGGAUGGUGGAAUUCCCGGUGUAGCGGUGAAAUGCGUAGAUAUUGGGAAGAACACCUGAGGCGAAGGCGGGUUGCUGGGCCGACACUGACGCUGAGGCGCGAAAGCCAGGGGAGCGAACGGG
rnacentral:rRNA from 1 species